UCUGCGCCCACAGACGUGAUUGACGCAAGGUGCGUCACACGUCAUGCUUUUCCAUCACAAUAAGGGGCUAAAAGGACUCCUCCAGUGCCUGUCAGCUAUAUGAGCCCUGCUGGGGAAGCCAAGCCAGAUUAUUAGCCGCUCUAAAGAUACUAAUCUAUGAGAGGUGUUUGUGGAAAAAAGCACUUUUAUAUAGAAGACUGGACGCCUUAAGAUUGUUUCGUGCGUCCCUGAAGAAGCCCUCAUUAGGGCGAAACAUGUAGGACUACUAGCAUGGGAUAAACAAGAAAGUCUGUGCACUUGUCUGUAAACUCCUCUUUCUUGCGUUUUUUAAAUUUGUACAUGUAAAACAUAUUUAUGAAUUAAACAUUUGUUCUUAAUAACAUA